rnacentral:rRNA from 1 species
CCUACGGGAGGCAGCAGUGAGGAAUAUUGGUCAAUGGGCGGGAGCCUGAACCAGCCAAGUCGCGUGAGGGAAGAAGGUACUGAGUAUUUUAAACCUCUUUUGCCAGGGGACAAAGGCGGCCACGGGUGGCCGUAAGAGGGUACCUGGAGAAAUAGCAUCGCCUACCUCCGUGACAGCAGCCGCGGUAAUACGGGGGAUGCGAGCGUUAUCCGGUUUUAUUGGGUUAAACGGGUGGGCAGGCGGCGUGUCACGUCAGCGGUAAAAUGUCGGGGCUCAACCCCGGCCGGCCGUUGAAACUGGCGUGCUCGAGUUGGAGAGAAGUAUGCGGAAUUCGUGGUGUAGCGGUGAAAUGCAUAGAUAUCACGAAGAACCCCGAUUGCGAAGGCAGCAUACCGGCUCCACACUGACGCUGAGGCACGAAAGCGUGGGUAGCGAACAGGAUUAGAUACCCGGGUAGUC